AACGAACGCUGGCGGCAGGCUUAACACAUGCAAGUCGAGCGCCCCGCAAGGGGAGCGGCAGACGGGUGAGUAACGCGUGGGAAUCUACCCAUCCCUACGGAAUAGCUCCGGGAAACUGGAAUUAAUACCGUAUACGCCCUACGGGGGAAAGAUCUAUCGGGGAUGGAUGAGCCCGCGUUGGAUUAGCUAGUUGGUGGGGUAAAGGCCUACCAAGGCGACGAUCCAUAGCUGGUCUGAGAGGAUGAUCAGCCACAUUGGGACUGAGACACGGCCCAAACUCCUACGGGAGGCAGCAGUGGGGAAUAUUGGACAAUGGGGGCAACCCUGAUCCAGCCAUGCCGCGUGAGUGAUGAAGGCCUUAGGGUUGUAAAGCUCUUUCACCGGGGAAGAUAAUGACGGUACCCGGAGAAGAAGCCCCGGCUAACUUCGUGCCAGCCGCCGCUGUAAGAC
rnacentral:rRNA from 1 species